CCUACGGGCGGCAGCAGUGAGGAAUAUUGGUCAAUGGGCGAGAGCCUGAACCAGCCAAGUCGCGUGAGGGAAGACGGUCCUAUGGAUUGUAAACCUCUUUUGUCGGGGAGCAAAAAGGCCUCGUGAGGCCACAAGUGAGAGUACCCGAAGAAAAAGCAUCGUCUAACUCCGUGCCAGCCGCCGCGGUAAUAGGGAGUAUGCGAGCGUUCUCCGGUUUUAGUGGGUUUAAAGGGGGCGUAGGGGGACUGGAAAGUCAGCGGUAAAAUCGAGAGGCUCCACCUCUUUCCGCCGUUGAAACUGUCGGGCUGGAGUGGGAGAGAAGUAUGAGGAAUGCGUGGUGUAGCGGUGAAAUGCAUAGAUAUCACGCAGAACUCCGAUUGCGAAGGCAGCAUACCGGCGCCCGACUGACGCUGAGGCACGAAAGCGUGGGUAUCGAACAGGAUUAGAUACCCCGGUAGUC
rnacentral:rRNA from 1 species